GCUUAAUAGGACUACUAAAUAUAGCCUAUCACAGUUUUUGGCUAGAUGUAAGUAAAUCAUGUGACACAUCCUGUUGGGUCCAGCGUGCUCGUUGUGAACUGUUUGUUUUCCUCAUGACCAGUAGCCCAAGGAAAGAUGCUGUUUUGGUGCUCGUGCAAAGAUUGAAGUCCAAGUCAUCUCAAGGGAUGAGUGAGGAUGAAGCAUCAGAGCCUUGCCAGGCUGCCACAUCUACAGAGGAAGCUACACUGGUACUCAAAAUUUGAGGAACAUUAAAAGGAGUUUGCCAGUGGAGAUCGUAAGAAACCCAGGACCUCAUACAGACAGACUCAUCUUUUUGAGCAUGUACCAGUGGCAGUGACACAAAAUAAAGUUGACUCUCUUGUAUCAUUCUUUGUUACUAAAGGCAUGUACCAGUUUGCCACUGAACAAAAGAAUUAAUUGAAUAAGUACAUGGCCUUUGCCAGGGUGCUAAUAUAAUUUCAAGGAGAACACUCAGAAGAAGA